AGCCAAUCACAUUUCACUUGGCCAUGUCAACAAAAGAUUUCGUUAUAAUUGUUUUCCGGCUGCCUGGUAGUGUUGCACAACAACUUCUAGUGCUUACUCGUGUGAUCGAUUAAAAAUAAGACCAAACAUUUUUAUAGUUCGUCGACAAAGCUCUAUGGGUUGAUUUGAACGCGUUUUAAAUAAACAUGUCGCUUCAGAAGGAAAUUCCGUAUGAGGAGAGCUUGCAGGGUCAGUACAGAAACUAAACAUCAAAUACGCUGUUUUUUUAGCUAACGUUGGCUGGCCACAUCAUUUUUAUGUUCCUGGGUGGAGUUGCACUAUAACACUGGCAGUGGGAGUCAGGUGUGCCAGGAGCAGAUCUCAACAACUGCUCUUGAUGUAGACCUGGAGAAGUUACUACUAGACGCUCAACACGAGUCAAGCAGGAGUACCUCGAGAGGAAGCUCACAAUGUGACAGUCCACUUAGGUCACAGACUCCUCUUCUUCUGUUUAGAGGCUCAGAGGGAAACAGUUCACAGUCUGAGGAAGAUAACCAAGAAAGAAUCCAGGAAGUAGAGAAUCUACUGAAGAAGAAUGCUGACUGGAUCUGGGACUGGUCCAGUCGUCCUGAGAACAACCCACCAAAGGAGUUUCUGCUGAAACACCCCAGGCGCUCAGCCUCGCUCAGCAUCAGGAAGACCAACGUCAUGAAGAAAGGAGGAGUUCUCUCCCCUGACUUCCUCAAGCUUUUCCUUCCUUCAUUAUUCAUUUCUCAUAUACUCGCAGUUGGCCUGGGGAUAUACAUUGGGAGGCGUCUCAGCACAUACAGCACCUACUGAAGCUGAUGCUGCAUUAUGAGACCACUGACUCAUACAGCUGGCAUGCCUUCAAAUGGGGGCAACUUCAGAAUCCAAGGAGAAGUGGUUGAUGUAGCAUUCUCCAUUUUAGCUGAUUGCCUCAUCUUAUCUUCUGAAUGCUGUGACUGCUUCUUUCUCCCAGAAAUGCCUUGAAUCAGGAACUGAUUUGUGCUGCCAUGUUCCUCACACUAUUUUAGAAUGUUGUUUUAUAUUGAACUGCUGCCAAUUGGCAUUGUUUCUCAUUUUCUUAAGCAUAUUGUGUUUGUGUUUUGCCUGUUUGUUUGUUAUUCUUACGGGAAUGAUUAAUGUGAAUGAAUAUUAAUUGUGAAAUAAUUUCCUGCACUCAUUUUCUUUGAAAAAAGCUGGGGUUGUUAAUACAUUUCAUGCAACAUGUGAAAGGCAGGGUGUGAAUUGCAACAAAAGUCCAACUUUUGGGGGGUCUCUAAUUUAACCUAUUCUCCUAUUUGUUUAAAAUUCUAUUGUGUACUGUUAGUGGUAAAGAUGAAAAUAAAAGCUUAUUCCAAAUUAAAUGAA